rnacentral:lncRNA from 1 species
CCAUUAUGCUUGCAAGCUAAUCUAAUUAUGUCACACCAAUUAUCAUAACAAAAUUGACUCUCAAGUUCCAUUUAAAAUGUAAUCCAUAGACACCAACUCCAUCCAAAACCAUUCUUAUAUAAGUUAAUCCCUUAAUGCAAUGCAAUAGGUUCAAAAAAUGCUAAACUAUGCAAUUUCCUAUAUUCAAAACCAAGUUUACUAAGUGGGUUGAGGUUAAUGCAAUUAUCAAGCCAAAUUUAAUCCAAUUUGGGGAAACCCAUGUCCCUCCCAUAUUCU